UUCUGGACGAACCGUACAUAUGGAUGUACCGUACAAAAGCUCUCAAGACCACAUAUAUUAUUUUAAGCUAGUUAACGUCUAAAGAGUGAAAGAGAAAACGGAGUCACACAGCUCCGUCCCUCCAUUUGAGCGCGGCAACCAACAGCGCAUGAAUGAGAUUGAGCCAGGAUGCCACGCAAGUUCAUUCCCAAGAACCUCCGGGAGACAGACCGGACCAACCUCGAACUGGCAUUCAACUACAGGAUUGAGCACAACACCAGCAUACGGAACCUGAGGAAGUCAAUGUAUUUCAAGAGAAAGAUCCUGAGGUGGGGGACUAUUUGCUGGUUGAACUUGAAGUGGAGGAGGGCAAGACGAAGGGCACAAAGGUCAACUAUAUUGCAAAAGUCCUAGGCGUCGAACCCCCCAGUGUUAAUGUCUCCUUCAUGAGAAAAUCUACAAAAAUGCUAAACACUUUUGUCUUCCCAGCCAUAGAAGAUGAGGGUGAGGUGAAGCCUGACCAGGUGAAGGGUGUCCUCUUUCCUCCGGUGCCAGCACCCACUCCUAGGCUCCAGCGUUUCAUCAGGUUUCCCUACUCUCUUCUUUCAUAUAAUAUCAAGUAGGCAUUUUUGUUUGUUUUAAGCCUUGUAAGCUUUUUAAGGCAAAGAAGAUAAUGUAACCAUAUUUUUUCUCAACUUUUUGUGUAAUAAAGGAAGAUUAAAAUUAAA